rnacentral:rRNA from 1 species
AAGGAGCCCUGCGCGUGAGUGAGAGGCCUUCGGGUCGUAAGCUCUGUUGUCAGGGAAGACAGGUAUCGUUCGAAUCGGUCGGUCCUUGACGGUACCCUAACAAAAAGCCCCGGCUAACUUCGUGCCCGCGCCGCAGUAAUUA